GGUUUAAUAUUCAAGUAUGAUUUUAAAUUGCAAGUUUAAAGGUGAAUUAAUUCUUAAACCU
rnacentral:tRNA from 1 species